rnacentral:rRNA from 1 species
UACAGAGGGUGCGAGCGUUAAUCGGAGUUACUGGGCGUAAAGGGCGCGUAGGCGGUUUUAUAAGUGAGAUGUGAAAGGCCUGGGCUUAACCUAGGAAUGGCAUCUUAGACUAUAGGACUAGAGUGUAGUAGAGGGUGGCGGAAUUUCCGGUGUAGCGGUGAAAUGCGUAGAGAUCGGAAGGAACACCAGUGGCGAAGGCGGCCACCUGGACUGUCACUGACGCUGAGGCGCGAGAGCGUGGGUAGCAAAACAGG